CUUGGCAUUUAGAGGAAGUAAAAGUCGUAACAAGGUUUCCGUAGGUGAACCUGCGAAGGAUCAUUAAAGAAUGCCCCGUUUUUUGAAAUGGGUUCUAUUCCCAACCGUGUAUACAUACCUUUGUUGCUUUGGCAGGCCGCCUUCGGGCGUUGCUCACGCUGACCGCGCCUGCCAGAGGACCCAAACUCGUUUGUUUAGUGAGUCUGAGUACUAUAUAAUAGUUAAAACUUUCAACAACGGAUCUCUUGGUCUGGCAUCGAUGAAGAACGCAGCGAAAUGCGAUAAGUAAUGUGAAUUGCGAAUUCAGUGAAUCAUCGAAUCUUUGAACGCACAUUGCGCCCCUUGGUAUCCGAGGGGCAUGCCUGUUCGAGCGUCAUUAUGACCACUCAAGCCUAGCUGGUAUUGGGGUUCGCGGUCUCGCGGCCCUUAAAAUCAGUGGCGGUGCCUCUGGCUCUAAGCGUAUUAAUUUAUCUCGCUAUUGGGUCCGGUGGUUGCUGCCAACAACCCCCAACUUCUAAGGUUGACCUCGGAUCAGGUAGGGAUACCGCUGAACUUAAGCAUAUCAAUAAGCGGAGGA
rnacentral:rRNA from 1 species